rnacentral:rRNA from 1 species
CCCCUAGAUGUUCUGGGCCGCACGCGCGCUACACUGAACAGUUCAACAAGUCUUAACCUUGGCCGAUAGGUCUGGGUAAUCUUUGAACGCUGUUCGUGAUUGGGAUAGACCUUUGCAAUUAUGGGUCUUCAACGAGGAAUUCCUAGUAAACGCAAGUCAUCAGCUUGCAUUGAUUACGUCCCUGCCCUUUGUACACACCGCCCGUCGCACCUACCGAUUGAAUGGCCCGGUGAAAUCUCGGGACGGCGGCUUGGUCGCUUGCGUCCGACUGCUGAAACAUGAUUAAACCAUAUCAUUUAGAGGAAGGUGAAGUCGUAACA